GACGAACGCUGGCGGCGUGCUUAACACAUGCAAGUCGAACGGUGACCCAGGGCUUGCCCUGGUGAUCAGUGGCGAACGGGUGAGUAACACGUGGGCAACCUGCCCCCUGACUUCGGGAUAACUCCUCGAAAGAGGAGCUAAUACCGGAUACGACCACUUCGGACAUCCGAUGGUGGUGGAAAGUUUUUCGGUCAGGGAUGGGCCCGCGGCCUAUCAGCUAGUUGGUGGGGUAAUGGCCUACCAAGGCGACGACGGGUAGCCGGCCUGAGAGGGCGACCGGCCACACUGGGACUGAGACACGGCCCAGACUCCUACGGGAGGCAGCAGUGGGGAAUAUUGCGCAAUGGGCGAAAGACCUGACGCAGCGACGCCGCGUGAGGGA
rnacentral:rRNA from 1 species